GGACCCUUAGCUCAGUUGGUAGAGCACUGCAUUCACAUUGCAAAGGUCAGAAGUUCGAGACUUCUAGGGUCCAC
rnacentral:tRNA from 1 species